AGGGUUUGAUCAUGGCUCAGGAUGAACGCUGGCGGCGUGCCUAACACAUGCAAGUCGAACGAAGCAAUCAGAAUGAAAUUUUCGGAUGGAUUUCUGGUUGACUGAGUGGCGGACGGGUGAGUAACGCGUGGAUAACCUGCCUCACACUGGGGGAUAACAGUUAGAAAUGGCUGCUAAUACCGCAUAAGCGCACAGUACCGCAUGGUACGGUGUGAAAAACUCCGGUGGUGUGAGAUGGAUCCGCGUCUGAUUAGUUAGUUGGCGGGGUAACGGCCCACCAAGACAGCGAUCAGUAGCCGACCUGAGAGGGUGACCGGCCACAUUGGGACUGAGACACGGCCCAA
rnacentral:rRNA from 1 species